rnacentral:sRNA from 1 species
GCUGGGCAUAGUGGUGCAUGCCUGUAAUCCCAGUGGCUUGGGAGGCUGAGGCAGGAGGAUCUCAGAUUCAAAGCCAGCCUCAG